rnacentral:rRNA from 1 species
UACGAAGGGGGCUAGCGUUGUUCGGAAUCACUGGGCGUAAAGGGUGCGCAGGCGGGUUCUUAAGUUAGGGGUGAAAUCCCGAGGCUUAACCUCGGAACUGCCUUUGAUACUGGGGGUCUUGAGUACGGAAGAGGUGAGUGGAACUGCGAGUGUAGAGGUGAAAUGCGUAGAUAUUCGGAAGAACACCGGUGGCGAAGGCGGCUCACUGGUCCGGAACUGACGCUGAGGCACGAAAGCGUGGGGAGCAAACAGG